rnacentral:rRNA from 1 species
CGGGCUUUCUAUCAUAUCCAUAACACCUGUGCACUUGUUGGAUGUCUAGAGACGUAAAGUCGACAGUCAUCCACUUACACUAAACAAUAAUGUAACAAAUGUAGUCUUAUUAUAACAAAAUAAAACUUUCAACAACGGAUCUCUUGGCUCUCGCAUCGAUGAAGAACGCAGCGAAAUGCGAUAAGUAAUGUGAAUUGCAGAAUUCAGUGAAUCAUCGAAUCUUUGAACGCACCUUGCGCUCCUUGGUAUUCCGAGGAGCAUGCCUGUUUGAGUGUCAUGAAAACCCUCAACCUUAGAUUGGUUAUUUGACCUUUCUUUGGCUUGGAUUUGGACGUUUGCCGAUGUCAAGUCGGCUCGUCUUAAAAGUAAUAGCUGGAUCUGUCUCGCGACAUGGUUUGACUUGGCGUAAUAAGUAUUUCGCUAAGGACAUCUUCGGAUGGCCCUGUUGCAGGACUAAAGACCGCUUUCUAAUCCAUUGAUCUUCGGAUUAAUAUUCAUAACAUCUGGCCUCAAAUCAGGUAGGACUACCCGCUGAACUUAAGCAUAUCAAUAAGCGGAGGA